GGAGGAGGCGGAGGAGGGAACCCGCGAGGGAGGGUCCGCCCGGCCCCCCGCCGCCGGAGCCGCCGCCGCCGCCGCCGCCUCAGCCGCCGCUGGACUAGGAGCAGGGGAACAUGGCGCCGGGGCCCCCGUCGUUGCUGCCGGGAUCUUGGAGGCCGGGGCCGCGCUGAGGGCGCCCAGCUGGAAGAAAUGUUGGCUAUUUGGCGAUGAGAGGUGGUGAACAGUGACCAUACUGGUAUACAACACUAUGGGACCUGGCAUUUUUGCUGCAUGUCCAGCCCACCCCCACUAAUAAUGUAGGAAGCUGUCUGGUCCAUUGAAAACACUAAUCUGAUCUCGGAAGUGGCUGAUCGUGGCAGGAUGUGUCGACGAUGAUGAUGGCAAGAAAGCAAGAUGUCCGAAUUCCCACCUACAACAUCAGUGUGGUGGGAUUAUCUGGGACCGAGAAGGAAAAGGGCCAGUGUGGGAUUGGAAAGUCUUGUUUGUGCAACCGCUUCGUGCGCCCGAGUGCUGACGAGUUUCACUUGGACCAUACCUCCGUCCUCAGCACCAGUGACUUUGGAGGGCGAGUGGUCAAUAAUGACCACUUUCUCUACUGGGGAGAAGUUAGCCGCUCCCUGGAGGAUUGUGUGGAAUGUAAGAUGCACAUUGUGGAGCAGACUGAAUUUAUUGAUGAUCAGACUUUUCAACCUCAUCGAAGCACGGCCCUGCAGCCCUAUAUCAAGAGAGCUGCUGCGACCAAGCUCGCAUCAGCUGAAAAACUCAUGUACUUUUGCACUGACCAGCUGGGGCUGGAGCAGGACUUUGAGCAGAAACAAAUGCCAGACGGAAAGCUUCUGGUUGAUGGUUUUCUUCUUGGUAUUGAUGUUAGCAGGGGCAUGAAUAGGAACUUUGAUGACCAGCUCAAGUUUGUCUCCAAUCUCUACAAUCAGCUUGCAAAAACAAAAAAGCCCAUAGUGGUGGUCCUGACUAAGUGUGACGAAGGUGUUGAGCGGUACAUUAGAGAUGCACAUACUUUUGCCUUAAGCAAAAAGAACCUCCAGGUUGUGGAGACCUCAGCGAGAUCCAAUGUAAACGUGGACUUGGCUUUCAGCACCUUAGUGCAACUCAUUGAUAAAAGUCGGGGAAAGACAAAAAUCAUUCCUUAUUUUGAAGCUCUCAAGCAGCAGAGUCAGCAGAUAGCUACAGCAAAAGACAAGUAUGAGUGGCUGGUGAGUCGCAUUGUGAAAAACCACAAUGAGAACUGGCUGAGUGUCAGCCGAAAGAUGCAGGCCUCUCCAGAAUACCAGGACUAUGUCUACCUGGAAGGGACUCAGAAAGCCAAGAAGCUGUUUCUACAGCACAUCCACCGCCUCAAGCAUGAGCAUAUCGAGCGUAGGAGAAAGCUGUACCUGGCAGCCCUGCCAUUAGCUUUUGAAGCUCUUAUACCUAAUCUAGAUGAAAUAGACCACCUAAGCUGCAUAAAAGCCAAAAAGCUCUUAGAAACCAAGCCAGAAUUCUUGAAGUGGUUUGUUGUGCUUGAAGAGACCCCAUGGGAUGCCACCAGCCACAUUGACAACAUGGAAAACGAACGGAUUCCCUUUGAUUUAAUGGAUACCGUCCCUGCAGAGCAGCUAUACGAGGCCCACUUAGAGAAGCUGAGGAACGAAAGGAAAAGAGUUGAGAUGCGAAGGGCAUUUAAAGAAAACCUGGAGACUUCUCCUUUUAUAACUCCCGGAAAGCCUUGGGAAGAGGCCCGUAGUUUUAUUAUGAAUGAGGAUUUCUACCAGUGGCUGGAAGAAUCUGUAUACAUGGAUAUUUAUGGCAAACACCAAAAGCAAAUUAUAGAUAAAGCAAAGGAAGAAUUUCAGGAGUUGCUUUUGGAAUAUUCAGAAUUGUUUUAUGAACUGGAGCUGGAUGCUAAGCCCAGCAAGGAGAAGAUGGGUGUUAUUCAGGAUGUUCUGGGAGAGGAACAGCGAUUUAAAGCAUUACAAAAGCUCCAAGCAGAGCGUGAUGCCCUUAUUCUGAAACACAUUCAUUUUGUGUACCACCCAACAAAGGAGACAUGCCCCAGCUGCCCAGCUUGUGUGGACGCUAAGAUUGAGCACUUGAUUAGUUCUCGGUUUAUCCGGCCGUCUGACCGGAAUCAGAAAAAUUCACUCUCUGACCCUAACAUUGAUAGAAUCAACUUGGUUAUAUUGGGCAAAGACGGCCUUGCCCGAGAGUUGGCCAAUGAGAUUCGAGCUCUUUGUACAAAUGAUGACAAGUAUGUGAUAGAUGGUAAAAUGUAUGAGCUUUCCCUGAGGCCAAUAGAGGGGAAUGUCAGGCUUCCUGUGAACUCUUUCCAGACGCCAACAUUUCAGCCCCACGGCUGUCUCUGCCUUUACAAUUCAAAGGAAUCGCUAUCCUAUGUAGUGGAAAGUAUAGAGAAGAGUAGAGAGUCCACGCUGGGCCGGCGGGAUAAUCAUUUAGUCCAUCUCCCCCUUACAUUAAUUUUGGUUAACAAGAGAGGAGACACCAGUGGAGAGACUCUGCAUAGCUUAAUACAGCAAGGUCAACAAAUUGCUAGCAAACUUCAGUGUGUCUUUCUCGACCCUGCUUCUGCUGGCAUUGGUUACGGACGCAACAUUAAUGAAAAGCAAAUCAGUCAAGUUUUGAAGGGACUCCUGGACUCUAAGCGUAACUUAAACCUGGUCAGUUCUACUGCUAGCAUCAAAGAUUUGGCCGAUGUUGAUCUGCGAAUUGUUAUGUGUCUGAUGUGUGGAGAUCCUUUUAGUGCAGAUGACAUACUUUUUCCUGUCCUUCAGUCCCAAACCUGUAAAUCUUCCCAUUGUGGAAGCAACAACUCUGUUUUACUUGAACUACCAAUCGGACUGCACAAGAAGCGGAUUGAACUGUCUGUUCUUUCAUACCAUUCCUCCUUUAGCAUCAGAAAGAGCCGGUUGGUUCAUGGGUACAUUGUUUUUUAUUCAGCCAAACGUAAGGCCUCUUUGGCUAUGUUACGUGCCUUUCUUUGUGAAGUGCAGGAUAUUAUCCCUAUUCAGCUUGUAGCACUCACUGAUGGCACUGUAGAUGUCCUGGACAAUGACUUAAGUAGGGAACAGCUAACUGAAGGGGAGGAGAUUGCUCAAGAAAUUGAUGGAAGGUUCACAAGCAUCCCCUGUAGCCAACCCCAGCAUAAACUUGAGAUCUUUCACCCAUUUUUUAAAGAUGUGGUGGAAAAAAAGAACAUAAUCGAGGCUACUCAUAUGUACGAUAAUGCUGCCGAGGCCUGUAGCACCACUGAAGAGGUGUUUAACUCCCCCCGGGCAGGAUCACCGCUCUGCAACUCAAACCUGCAGGAUUCAGAAGAAGAUAUCGAGCCAUCUUACAGCCUGUUUCGAGAAGACACAUCACUGCCUUCUCUGUCCAAAGACCAUUCUAAGCUCUCUAUGGAACUGGAGGGAAAUGAUGGGCUGUCUUUCAUUAUGAGCAAUUUUGAGAGUAAACUGAACAACAAAGUACCUCCGCCAGUCAAACCAAAGCCUCCUGUCCAUUUUGAAAUUACAAAGGGGGAUCUAUCUUAUUUAGACCAAGGCCAUAGGGAUGGACAGAGGAAGUCUGUGUCUUCUAGCCCCUGGCUGCCUCAGGAUGGGUUUGAUCCUUCUGACUAUGCUGAACCCAUGGAUGCUGUGGUGAAGCCAAGGAAUGAAGAAGAAAACAUAUACUCCGUGCCCCAUGACAGCACCCAAGGCAAAAUCAUCACCAUUCGGAAUAUCAACAAAGCCCAGUCCAACGGCAGCGGGAAUGGUUCUGACAGUGAAAUGGACACCAGCUCUCUAGAGCGAGGGCGCAAGGUUUCCAUCGUGAGCAAGCCAGUGCUGUACAGGACGAGAUGCACCCGGCUGGGGCGGUUUGCUAGUUACCGGACCAGCUUCAGCGUGGGGAGUGAUGAUGAGCUGGGGCCCAUCCGGAAGAAAGAGGAGGAUCAGGCAUCCCAGGGUUAUAAAGGGGACAAUGCUGUCAUUCCAUACGAAACAGACGAAGACCCGCGGAGGAGGAAUAUUCUUCGCAGCCUAAGGAGGAACACUAAGAAACCAAAGCCCAAACCCCGGCCAUCCAUCACAAAGGCAACCUGGGAGAGUAACUAUUUUGGGGUGCCCUUAACAACUGUCGUGACUCCAGAGAAGCCGAUCCCCAUUUUUAUUGAAAGAUGUAUUGAGUACAUUGAAGCCACAGGACUGAGCACGGAAGGCAUCUAUCGGGUCAGCGGGAACAAGUCUGAGAUGGAGAGUCUGCAGAGACAGUUUGAUCAAGACCACAACCUGGACCUGGCAGAGAAAGACUUUACGGUGAAUACCGUGGCUGGUGCCAUGAAGAGCUUUUUCUCAGAACUGCCUGACCCCCUGGUCCCGUAUAACAUGCAGAUCGACUUGGUGGAAGCACACACCGCCAGUUGUGAGAUCGCUGCCAUCUCCUUCGUGAGACCCUCCUGUGGUUCUUCUGAGACCUGGAGUCCAAGAAGGAAACAUGGGGGCAUCUUUCCCUGCACAGAGAAAUCUGUCUUAGCCAGCUGGGCUCCAGAAAUCAACGACCGGGAGCAGAAGUUGCAUGCCCUUAAGGAGGUAUUAAAGAAAUUUCCAAAGGAAAACCACGAAGUCUUCAAGUAUGUCAUCUCUCACCUAAACAAGCCUCCCUCCUGCUCCUGUCUGAGGGCAGCCCACGUGGCCUCAAACCUGCCUAACACCAGAUAGUGCACUUAGCUCCAGCGGGCAUGGGGCCUCUUGUAGGCCUGUGUCCCAAAGCCGGCAGAGAGAGAAGAUCUUCUGGUUGGUGCUGAUGCUCCAGAAAUCUUCUCCUGAAUCAAAAACACCUCAGAGUCCCUGAAAGUCCUCUCACAGCAUUCACGUUCCCAGCUGGGGAGAACCAGGACACUGCACCUCGAGAGAUGUGCUGCAGGAGACAGCCAGCCUCCGGCAUGGAGCACAGCCGCAGGCAGGAGGCCGUAUGGUUGUUCCCUGAAGUUCCAUGUGUGUGGAGGAGAUCUGCUGGCCGAGUGGCCUCUGAUGGCGCUCUGGCUUAGGACACUCAGCCUCCCUCCCUCAUCACAGCCGGAGCACCGCCACUGCUUUGGCUGGCUGCAGAGGUCAGCCACAACAACAAGGUGAAUCUCAUGACCAGCGAGAACCUCUCCAUCUGCUUCUGGCCCACCUUGAUGAGACCUGAUUUCAGCACUAUGGACGCCCUCACAGCCACGCGCACCUACCAGACAAUCAUUGAACUCUUUAUCCAGCAGUGCCCCUUCUUCUUCUACAAUCGGCCCAUCACCGAGCCCCCCGGCGCCAGGCCCAGCUCCCCCUCCGCCGUGGCUUCCACCGUCCCCUUCCUCACUUCCACGCCUGUCACAAGUCAGCCGUCGCCCCCACAGUCGCCUCCACCCACCCCCCAGUCCCCAAUGCAGCCACUGCUUCCCUCCCAGCUUCAAGCCGAACACACGCUGUGAGCCACCAAGACCUGGGGCGACAGGAGAACCGGUCCUCUCUCUGACGGGGUGGCAUUUGGCCUUGAACAAAACCAAGUCCACUGGGGACAGAGGCAGGGGCAAGUGGCUCUCCCCAUUACCUUCUCAAGACCUCAGUGAGAGCACCAGCCAAUGGUACCAUCGGCCGGGCUGCCAGGUACCCUGGGCCCGGCGCUGCAGACCUGAGCUGGCUGCAGGCAGCAGCCAUGGGGCCCUGUCCUUUGACUUGGACCCAUUUGAGGACUGAACUAGGCAGGCAAUGGCCCCAGUGCCCUCCCUCUGUUCCCUGGACCACCACCCCACCUAGCUGCUCACACCAGCCUCCGGGUGCCUCCCUCUGCUUGUACAGAGCCCAUGGUCGGGACAGUGCCCUGGCCUUUGCCGGGGAGGAGGAUGCUCUGAGAUUCAGGGCGGGGCUGGCAACUCCUGAAGAGAACACUUCCUGUUGGUCUGUCUCUUCCCACCUUCCAUCUGCACACACCCCCAAGGUAAGGGUACAGCCCGGCUGGCGGCCUCCUUGGGAACGUGUAGGCCACGGCUCUGCCACCACUAGGUACCUGCUGAGGGCGCUGGCUCUGCAGAUCAGAACAACGGAGGAUAGCUUUGUGCCUGGACCCAGAGAGUGUGGGACUCCCCGCUUCAUCCCCACCGUCCCACUCCACAGCCUUCCCGAAACAUUCCCUGGCAAACAAAGGAACACUAGGAGAAAAAAUGGAAAAACCCUUCCAGUAAUUAAAAAGGAAGAAACCACAGAAAGAAAA